UAUCAGUGCGAUGGAUACCUGGGAUAGUUUAGAAGGCAUUUACGCUCGUGCUGGGAUGCCGAGCUUAUUUUUCAGCAGAGUUUAGGCUGUUUCGGAUCGUUGGGUGCCGUUCGGGUUAGCGGUGGACCCAAUUCUUGUUUUGGUCACAGAUUGUGCCGAGGGCACGUGGGUUUGGUUUGUAGACCUGUUUUGACCCUGUUCACUUGACUUUGGCUAGUUGGAGCCUGAUUGAGCUCGACAGAGAUACGCUGCAUACUCGGUUGGGUAGCGCCCACGAGUGCCACUCCGGAGUCAGGCUUUGUGCUUUCGCGUUGGUGUCGCUCAUGCCAGUUGGACUUGCUCUCCACGGAUCAGUUAGUGUGGAUAGAGCCCGAUAGUCGCAACGGGGCAGGGAC
rnacentral:lncRNA from 1 species